rnacentral:tRNA from 1 species
GGGGAUGUAGCUUAAUGGUAAAGCCCCAGCCUUCCAAGCUGGCUACGCGGGUUCGAUUCCCGUCAUCCCCUCCA